UGGGCAACCUGCCCCCAGCUCUGGGAUAACUCCAAGAAAUUGGGGCUAAUACCGGAUAUGACCGCUGACCGCAUGGUCUGGUGGUGGAAAGAUUUAUCGGCUGGGGAUGGGCCCGCGGCCUAUCAGCUUGUUGGUGGGGUAGUGGCCUACCAAGGCGACGACGGGUAGCCGGCCUGAGAGGGUGACCGGCCACACUGGGACUGAGACACGGCCCAGACUCCUACGGGAG
rnacentral:rRNA from 1 species